GACGAGCCACCCAAACGUUAUUCGGAAUUACUGGGCUUAAAGGGUGCGUAGGCGGUGCAGCAAGUCGGGAGUGAAAUACCUCAGCUUAACUGAGGAACUGCUUUCGAUACUGCUGUGCUUGAGUGAGACAGAGGUAAGCGGAACUUAGGGUGGAGCGGUGAAAUGCGUUGAUAUCCUAGGGAACACCGGUGGCGAAAGCGGCAUUCUGGAUCUCAUCUGACGCUGAUGCACGAAAGCUAGGGUAGCAAACGGG
rnacentral:rRNA from 1 species